rfam:Echinops telfairi cont1.388069, whole genome shotgun sequence.
GUUUGAUUUCUCCCUUUAACCACCAUGAGGUCACACUCCUGUGUUUGUGACAUCGCAGCAUAGCAGCGGGGUUACCAUGGAGAUGACAGCUUUAUCAGCAACUCCACUUUGCAAUGACUUCACAGCCAGGUUACCAAGAAGCAGAUGUGCUGUGAAGAACA